rnacentral:rRNA from 1 species
GAUGAACGCUGGCGGCGUGCCUAAUACAUGCAAGUCGAGCGAACAGACGAGGAGCUUGCUCCUCUGACGUUAGCGGCGGACGGGUGAGUAACACGUGGAUAACCUACCUAUAAGACUGGGAUAACUUCGGGAAACCGGAGCUAAUACCGGAUAAUAUAUUGAACCGCAUGGUUCAAUAGUGAAAGACGGUUUUGCUGUCACUUAUAGAUGGAUCCGCGCCGCAUUAGCUAGUUGGUCAGGUAACGGCUUACCAAGGCGACGAUGCGUAGCCGACCUGUGAGGGUGAUCGGCCACCUUGGAACUUGACCACGGUCCAGACUCCUACGGGAGGCAGCAGUAGGGAAUCUUCCGCAAUGGGCGAAAGCCUGACGGAGCAACGCCGCGUGAGUGAUGAAGGUCUUCGGAUCGUAAAACUCUGUUAUUAGGGAAGAACAAAUGUGUAAGUAACUAUGCACGUCUUGACGGUACCUAAUCAGAAAGCCACGGCUAACUACGUG